UACGUAGGGCGCAAGCGUUGUCCGGAAUUAUUGGGCGUAAAGAGCUCGUAGGCGGCCUGUUACGUCUGCUGUGAAAUCCCGGGGCUUAACCCCGGGCGUGCAGUGGAUACGGGCAGGCUGGAGGCAGGCAGGGGAGAACGGAAUUCCCGGUGUAGCGGUGAAAUGCGCAGAUAUCGGGAGGAACACCGGUGGCGAAGGCGGUUCUCUGGGCAUUACCUGACGCCGAGGAGCGAAAGCGUGGGGAGCGAACAGG
rnacentral:rRNA from 1 species